GAUGAACGCUGGCGGCGUGCCUAAUACAUGCAAGUCGAGCGAACAGACGAGGAGCUUGCUCCUUCGACGUUAGCGGCGGACGGGUGAGUAACACGUAGGUAACCUACCUAUAAGACUGGGAUAACUUCGGGAAACCGGAGCUAAUACCGGAUAAUAUUUCGAACCGCAUGGUUCGAUAGUGAAAGAUGGCUUUGCUAUCACUUAUAGAUGGACCUGCGCCGUAUUAGCUAGUUGGUAAGGUAACGGCUUACCAAGGCAACGAUACGUAGCCGACCUGAGAGGGUGAUCGGCCACACUGGAACUGAGACACGGUCCAGACUCCUACGGGAGGCAGCAGUAGGGAAUCUUCCGCAAUGGGCGAAAGCCUGACGGAGCAACGCCGCGUGAGUGAUGAAGGUCUUCGGAUCGUAAAACUCUGUUAUUAGGGAAGAACAAACGUGUAAGUAACUGUGCGCGUCUUGACGGUACCUAAUCAGAAAGCCACGGCUAACUACGUG
rnacentral:rRNA from 1 species